rfam:Schistosoma mansoni strain Puerto Rico chromosome 6, complete genome
AUCCGGCUAGUGAUGAGUCCCAAAUAGGACGAAACGCGCGUCGAACUGGAU